rnacentral:rRNA from 1 species
AGUGAACGCUGGCGGUAGGCCUAACACAUGCAAGUCGAACGGCAGCACAGUAAGAGCUUGCUCUUACGGGUGGCGAGUGGCGGACGGGUGAGGAAUAUAUCGGAAUCUACUUUUUCGUGGGGGAUAACGUAGGGAAACUUACGCUAAUACCGCAUACGACCUACGGGUGAAAGCAGGGGAUCUUCGGACCUUGUGCGAUUGAAUGAGCCGAUGUCGGAUUAGCUAGUUGGCGGGGUAAAGGCCCACCAAGGCGACGAUCCGUAGCUGGUCUGAGAGGAUGAUCAGCCACACUAGAACUGAGACACGGUCCAGACUCCUACGGGAGGCAGCAGUGGGGAAUAUUAGACAAUGGGCGCAAGCCUGAUCCAGCCAUACCGCGUGGGUGAAGAAGGCCUUCGGGUUGUAAAGCCCUUUUGUUGGGAAAGAAAAGCAGCAGGUUAAUACCCCGCUGUUCUGACGGUACCCAAAGAAUAAGCACCGGCUAACUUCGUG